rnacentral:tRNA from 6 species
GCCUCCUUAGCUCAGUGGUAGAGCACUGGUCUCGUAAACCAGGGGUCGUGAGUUCAAACCUCACAGGAGGCA